UCUGUUCAUUCAGUGCUCCGUGAAAGAUAAGUAAUGAAUCAUCUUCUCGAGAUAUUUCAUAUUUAUUCUGAAAAUAAAUAAUUAUUCUCUGAAAUUAUGCAUGAUUUAUGAAAUUAUGUUUUGAAAGAAAAGUGCUUUUGAAAUAUUAUGGUAUGUCGAUUAUGCACACGUUCAGUGAAAAAUUAUGAUAUAUUAUGAUACAAAGUGUUUGAUAC
rnacentral:lncRNA from 1 species